ACUUUGAAAGGGUACCUGACUUACAGCAAAGCCAGGAGGAGCCUAGAAUUCUAGGCAGUAUUCGAGUGUUUUUGGAUUAUUGGUCAAUGACCACCUACAGAAAACGAGAACAGAAGUGAAUUUCGAUUGCGUAGACUUGCGCAUGCUACCAUUUGGGUCACAUACAUGCAAGGGGAUAUAUGUGGUAGAACGUGAUCAAUAUCAAUAUCAUGAAAUGUCACCACUAAGACGUGUAUGAAAACACUUUGCAACAGGUUGUGUGAAAUUAGCCUGCUUUCCCUCAAAACUCAAGCUCAAGGAUCUGCGAAGUGUCGACUGUAGGUUUCCAGUUUCAGUACCUUCAGAUCUACACGAAUUGAGUUGAAGACACAGAGAGGCAUACUCAAUGCUUCCUUGAUGAUGUGGGAAGCCAGAAAAUUAUAUUGGUGAUAUCUACUGGAGGUGCCGAAAUUGGAAAACUAUUUGUCUUCAGGAAGAGCUGUUUUCGAUCUCUGUUAAGCGAAAUAACGAUUCCUACUGUGUUUGGGUAUAAUUCUUGUCAAGAAUAGAUAGAUUUUAUUGAAAGGAAAUUACAAUGCAACAUCUGAAGGUGGGCCCGGUGUUUCCACAAUCGUCCAGGAGUCUGAGACUAAUUUGCGAAUCGGAGUUGUGAUUCAUCACGUUAAAGUCGGGGAAAGUCUUUAGGGCACGGGAUCGCUCUUUCACGAAUGAACAAGAUUGAUCCUUACGAGGACUCAUCAUUUUGGAUAUCCAUUCUCUGCAACUUCCUUAGCUCUGCCAACGGUGUACUUCGUGGUGAUGCAAUGUUUCUGUAAGAUUCCUCUUGUAAAGCCGGAUUCCCUCUGAGGACUUCGUUAGUCUGUAUUUGCAAAGUUAACCAUUAAUUUAGGUACGAGUACUUUUUGCCAUGGAUCGCAGUUCGAUGGUCGUCCUGCAAGCUGAGCAGUCCUACCUGAAUUCUGAGAAGACGGUUGUCAGUUUGUUGGCGAUAUUGGAAGGAACUGGUAAAAGCGAUAGACCUAUCCAUAUUUCUUGGAGUCGUACCACGGCGGCCGGACAUGGCUAAGGCUCACAGAUCACUCAACAAGACUACCUCACAUUUCUUCGCCUACGGAUAUGCGCAAUCAGGGCCACGUACAAUCAUUUUCCCUUUCCCUCGAAAUAAGAUAAGAAUCUGGAGCUUGACAUUGAGCAAAAUUGUACCUGAAGCUACAUCGAUCAGUUAGAGGGGAUACGGAUGUUAUGAACAGGGUAAGCUUGCUCUGGUUUGGUUCUGAACUUGCAGAUGAGGCUGCACGGGAUUGCACCCUAACCGUAAUGUAGUGAGUUCUAAACUGUGCAGGACGCCAUAGCUGAUGCAAAUAUUUGGAGGUGAGUCUUAUCCGCAGAUUGUGGAUGUUUGUUUCCCCAGCGAGUCCUUCGGAUCGUUCAGGUAUGGAAGGGUCGGGUGUCUAUUAUUACAUAAAAUAAUAUAGAUGCAAGAAGAAACUCUAAUUAAAAAUAUAGAUGUUUAAUUGGUGUAGGUGGGUUUAGUAUUAGUGUUGUAGAUCUUUUUUCUUUGGCUACUUUUUUCAAAAUUGACUUUGUUAUCCAAAUUGAAAUGACAUUAUAUGUAUGUAUUUUUGCUAAUAGUAAUAGUAAUUGUAUUUUUUGUUCUUAUUUUAGUUUUAAAAUGCUAUGGUUAGUUUUAUGUAUAUAUAUAUAUACAAAUGUUAUUAAUAUAUAUCCUCCAAUUGUGGUAGAAGGCUUAGAUGGCUUCUUUUUU